rnacentral:rRNA from 1 species
CCUACGGGUGGCUGCAGUGGGGAAUUUUGGACAAUGGGGGCAACCCUGAUCCAGCCAUGCCGCGUGCGGGAAGAAGGCCUUCGGGUUGUAAACCGCUUUUGUCAGGGAAGAAAUCUUCCGAGCUAAUACCUUGGGAGGAUGACGGUACCUGAAGAAUAAGCACCGGCUAACUACGUGCCAGCAGCCGCGGUAAUACGUAGGGUGCAAGCGUGGCGUGGAAUUACUGCACGUGAAUGGGCAAGAGAGGGUUGAAAUCCCCGGGCUUAACCUGGGAACUGCACUUGUGACUGUACGGCUGGAGUACGGCAGAGGGGGAUGGAAUUCCGCGUGUAGCAGUGAAAUGCGUAGAUAUGCGGAGGAACACCGAUGGCGAAGGCAGUCCCCUGGGCCUGUACUGACGCUCAUGCACGAAAGCGUGGGGAGCAAACAGGAUUAGAUACCCUGGUAGUC